rnacentral:rRNA from 1 species
GCGGCGUGCCUAAUACAUGCAAGUAGAACGCUGAAGAGAGGAGCUUGCUCUUCUUGGAUGAGUUGCGAACGGGUGAGUAACGCGUAGGUAACCUGCCUGGUAGCGGGGGAUAACUAUUGGAAACGAUAGCUAAUACCGCAUAAAAUGGAUUAUCGCAUGAUAAUCCAUUGAAAGGUGCAAAUGCAUCACUACCAGAUGGACCUGCGUUGUAUUAGCUAGUUGGUGGGGUAACGGCUCACCAAGGCGACGAUACAUAGCCGACCUGAGAGGGUGAUCGGCCACACUGGGACUGAGACACGGCCCAGACUCCUACGGGAGGCAGCAGUAGGGAAUCUUCGGCAAUGGACGGAAGUCUGACCGAGCAACGCCGCGUGAGUGAAGAAGGUUUUCGGAUCGUAAAGCUCUGUUGUAAGAGAAGAACGAGUGUGAGA